rnacentral:rRNA from 1 species
UUAACACAUGCAAGUCGAGGGGUAUAUGUCUUCGGAUAUAGAGACCGGCGCACGGGUGCGUAACGCGUAUGCAAUCUACCUUUUACAGAGGGAUAGCCCAGAGAAAUUUGGAUUAAUACCUCAUAGUAUAGCUCUACCGCAUGGUAGUACUAUUAAAGUCACAACGGUAAAAGAUGAGCAUGCGUCCCAUUAGCUAGUUGGUAAGGUAACGGCUUACCAAGGCAACGAUGGGUAGGGGUCCUGAGAGGGAGAUCCCCCACACUGGUACUGAGACACGGACCAGACUCCUACGGGAGGCAGCAGUGAGGAAUAUUGGACAAUGGGCGCAAGCCUGAUCCAGCCAUGCCGCGUGCAGGAUGACGGUCCUAUGGAUUGUAAACUGCUUUUGUACGAGAAGAAACACUGCUUCGUGAAGCAGCUUGACGGUAUCGUAAGAAUAAGGAUCGGCUAACUCCGUGCCAGCAGCCGCGGUAAUACGGAGGAUCCAAGCGUUAUCCGGAAUCAUUGGGUUUAAAGGGUCCGUAGGCGGUUUAGUAAGUCAGUGGUGAAAGCCCAUCGCUCAACGGUGGAACGGCCAUUGAUACUGCUGAACUUGAAUUAUUAGGGAGUAACUAGAAUAUGUAGUGUAGCGGUGAAAUGCUUAGAGAUUACAUGGAAUACCAAUUGCGAAGGCAGGUUACUACUAAUUGAUUGACGCUGAUGGACGAAA